rnacentral:rRNA from 1 species
UACGGUGGGGGCGAGCGUUAUCCGGAAUUAUUGGGCGUAAAGCGUCCGUAGGUGGUUGACCAAGUCUGCUGUCAAAGGGUGGGGCUUAACCUCAUAAACGCAGUGGAAACUGGUGAGCUAGAGUGCGGUAGGGGUAAGGGGAAUUCCCAGUGUAGCGGUGAAAUGCGUAGAGAUUGGGAAGAACAUCGGUGGCGAAAGCGCCUUGCUGGGCCUGCACUGACACUGAGGGACGAAAGCUAGGGGAGCGAAAGGG